rnacentral:rRNA from 1 species
AACGAACGCUGGCGGCAGGCUUAACACAUGCAAGUCGAACGCGAAAUCACCUUCGGGUGGUGGAGAGUGGCAGACGGGUGAGUAACGCGUGGGAACCUACCUAGUGGUACGGAAUAACUCAGGGAAACUUGGGCUAAUACCGUAUGUGCCCGAAAGGGGAAAGAUUCAUCGCCACUAGAUGGGCCCGCGUCGGAUUAGCUUGUUGGUGAGGUAACGGCUCACCAAGGCGACGAUCCGUAGCUGGUCUGAGAGGAUGAUCAGCCACAAGUGGACGGAGACAGGGCCCAUACUCCUACGGGAGGGAGAAGUGGGGAAUAUUGGACAAUGGGCGCAAGCCGGAUCCAGCCAUGCCGCGUGAGUGAUGACGGCCCUAGGGUUGUAAAGCUCUUUCGGCGGGGACGAUGAUGACGGUACCCGCAGAAGAAGCCCCUGCUAACUUCGUGCCAGCCGCCGCCGUAA